CAAACGGUCCUUUUCAGGACCAACGAAAAUGUUCCCGCAAGAGUUAU
rfam:Aedes albopictus isolate Foshan contig55103, whole genome shotgun sequence.